rfam:Parasutterella excrementihominis CAG:233 genomic scaffold, scf272
GUCAACUACCUCGGCCUAAAGGCCGAGGCUUGAAAAAGUCUCUAGUUGACUAGCCUCAGUCCGUCGUUUUGAGGACUACGUUGGUUGGGAAUGCACAGGCACCGCGGGAUGCAGAUCCUAGUCCCGCGCUCUGCGGCCCGAUCCUGGUCCCGCGCUCUGCGGCCGAUGGUUAAAAGCUCUGAGAGGUAGGAGCGGUGCUGUCGGCUUGAAACCCCUUCCAACAUUGGCGAAGGAUCACAAC